rnacentral:rRNA from 1 species
ACGUAGGUGGCUAGCGUUAUCCGGAAUUACUGGGCGUAAAGGGUGCGUAGGUGGUUUCUUAAGUCAGAGGUGAAAGGCUACGGCUCAACCGUAGUAAGCCUUUGAAACUGGGAAACUUGAGUGCAGGAGAGGAGAGUGGAAUUCCUAGUGUAGCGGUGAAAUGCGUAGAUAUUAGGAGGAACACCAGUUGCGAAGGCGGCUCUCUGGACUGUAACUGACACUGAGGCACGAAAGCGUGGGGAGCAAACAGGAUUAGAUACCCUGGUAGUCCACGCCGUAAACGAUGAGUACUAGCUGUCGGAGGUUACCCCCUUCGGUGGCGCAGCUAACGCAUUAAGUACUCCGCCUGGGAAGUACGCUCGCAAGAGUG